rnacentral:rRNA from 1 species
UACAGAGGUCUCAAGCGUUGUUCGGAUUCAUUGGGCGUAAAGGGUGUGUAGGUGGCGCGCUAAGUCGGGUGUGAAAUUUCGGAGCUUAACUCCGAAACUGCAUUCGAUACUGGCGUGCUUGAGGACUGGAGAGGAGACUGGAAUUCCUGGUGUAGCGGUGGAAUGCGCAGAUAUCGUAAGGAAGACCAGUGGCGAAGGCGGGUCUCUGGACAGUUCCUGACACUGAGACACGAAGGCCAGGGGAGCAAACGGG